AAAAUUGACAUGUAUCCAAAUAGUGGUUGAGUUGCUAAACCAUUGUCAUACGGAUCAGUGUUGCUAUAGUGCGUGUGGGUAGAAACUAACAUUGUUUCUGUUGAGCUAGUGGUAAGCACCAUAACGGGAAGAGUUCAAUGAUGGGUGUGGGGUCAUUGCGCCAUGAUUUCAACGGGCCUCACUACACCAAAUUAAUCAUAUAGCUACAUUUGAUUUAUGACCCUUAUUUUAAGGGUCUCUAUUCAUUAAUAUAGUGACAUUUAUAUAUGUAAUUUUUUAACGGUCACUAAUGUAAUCACUAAUCACAGUCUCACUCUUUUUUGUUUUUAUUCUAUUUUUUCAGAAAACAUAUUCAUACUUUCACCGUGAGAAAGAGAAGAGAAACUAACAACCAUAGUCCAUCACCGUGCUACAGUUCUCGUUUGCAGUUUGUCAUCGCGGUUCAAGUUCGCUAUUCACCGUCGCAGUUCGAGUUUGUCGUUCACCCUUCACCGUCGCGGUUCGAGUUCGCCGUUCGCCGUUCGCCGUUCGCCGUUCGCC
rnacentral:lncRNA from 1 species